rnacentral:tRNA from 1 species
CCCUGAUAGCUCAGUUGGUAAAGAGUCUACCUGUAAUGCAGGAAACCCUGGUUCAAUUCCUGGAUCAGGAA